UAAGGAAUAUUGGUCAAUGGACGCAAGUCUGAACCAGCCAUGCCGCGUGAAGGAUGAAGGUCCUCUGGAUUGUAAACUUCUUUUAUCUGGGACGAAAACGGGAUUUUUAUCUCAAUUGACGGUACCAGAGGAAUAAGCACCGGCUAACUCCGUGCCAGCAGCCGCGGUAAUACGGAGGGUGCGAGCGUUAUCCGGAUUUACUGGGUUUAAAGGGUGCGUAGGUGGGCUUAUAAGUCAGUGGUGAAAUCUCCGAGCUUAACUUGGAAACUGCCGUUGAUACUAUAGGUCUUGAAUUAUCUGGAGGUAAGCGGAAUAUGUCAUGUAGCGGGGAAAUGCUUAGAUAUAACAUAGAACACCAAUUGCUAAGGCAGCUUACUACAUAUAAAUUGACGCUGAGGCACGAAAGCGUGGGGAUCAAACA
rnacentral:rRNA from 1 species